CUGUNNNCAGCUCGUGUCGUGAGAUGUUGGGUUAAGUCCCGUAACGAGCGCAACCCUUGUCCUUAGUUACCAGCACGUUAUGGUGGGCACUCUAAGGAGACUGCCGGUGACAAACCGGAGGAAGGUGGGGAUGACGUCAAGUCAUCAUGGCCCUUACGGCCUGGGCUACACACGUGCUACAAUGGUCGGUACAGAGGGUUGCCAAGCCGCGAGGUGGAGCUAAUCCCACAAAACCGAUCGUAGUCCGGAUCGCAGUCUGCAACUCGACUGCGUGAAGUCGGAAUCGCUAGUAAUCGCGAAUCAGAAUGUCGCGGUGAAUACGUUCCCGGGCCUUGUACACACCGCCCGU
rnacentral:rRNA from 1 species